AAUCAGUGCUGAAAAUCGUCUCUCAUCCGCCAAAACAUCUUCGGCGUUGUAAGGUUAAGCCUCACGGUUCAUUAGUACCGGUUAGCUCAACGCAUCGCUGCGCUUACACACCCGGCCUAUCAACGUCGUCGUCUUCAACGUUCCUUCAGGAGACCUAAAGUCUCAGGGAGAACUCAUCUCGGGGCAAGUUUCGUGCUUAGAUGCUUUCAGCACUUAUCUCUUCCGCAUUUAGCUACCGGGCAGUGCCAUUGGCAUGACAACCCGAACACCAGUGAUGCGUCCNNNNNNNNNNNNNNNNNNNNAGCCCCCCUCAGUUCUCCAGCGCCCACGGCAGAUAGGGACCGAACUGUCUCACGACGUUCUAAACCCAGCUCGCGUACCACUUUAAAUGGCGAACAGCCAUACCCUUGGGACCUACUUCAGCCCCAGGAUGUGAUGAGCCGACAUCGAGGUGCCAAACACCGCCGUCGAUAUGAACUCUUGGGCGGUAUCAGCCUGUUAUCCCCGGAGUACCUUUUAUCCGUUGAGCGAUGGCCCUUCCAUUCAGAACCACCGGAUCACUAUGACCUGCUUUCGCACCUGCUCGCGCCGUCACGCUCGCAGUCAAGCUGGCUUAUGCCAUUGCACUAACCUCCUGAUGUCCGACCAGGAUUAGCCAACCUUCGUGCUCCUCCGUUACUCUUUAGGAGGAGACCGCCCCAGUCAAACUACCCACCAGACACUGUCCGCAACCCGGGUAACGGGUCCACGUUAGAACAUCAAACAUUAAAGGGUGGUAUUUCAAGGUCGGCUCCAUGCAGACUGGCGUCCACACUUCAAAGCCUCCCACCUAUCCUACACAUCAAGGCUCAAUGUUCAGUGUCAAGCUAUAGUAAAGGUUCACGGGGUCUUUCCGUCUUGCCGCGGGUACACUGCAUCUUCACAGCGAGUUCAAUUUCACUGAGUCUCGGGUGGAGACAGCCUGGCCAUCAUUACGCCAUUCGUGCAGGUCGGAACUUACCCGACAAGGAAUUUCGCUACCUUAGGACCGUUAUAGUUACGGCCGCCGUUUACCGGGGCUUCGUUCAGGAGCUUCGCUUGCGCUGACCCCAUCAAUUAACCUUCCGGCACCGGGCAGGCGUCACACCGUAUACGUCCACUUUCGUGUUUGCACAGUGCUGUGUUUUUAAUAAACAGUUGCAGCCAGCUGGUAUCUUCGACUGACUUCAGCUCCAUGAGUAAAUCACUUCACCUACGUGUCAGCGUGCCUUCUCCCGAAGUUACGGCACCAUUUUGCCUAGUUCCUUCACCCGAGUUCUCUCAAGCGCCUUGGUAUUCUCUACCUGACCACCUGUGUCGGUUUGGGGUACGAUUUGAUGUUACCUGAUGCUUAGAGGCUUUUCCUGGAAGCAGGGCAUUUGUUGCUUCAGCACCGUAGUGCCUCGUCGUCACGCCUCAGUGUUAAAGUGAACCGGAUUUACCUGGAACACACACCUACACGCUUAAACCGGGACAACCGUCGCCCGGCCAACAUAGCCUUCUCCGUCCCCCCCUUCGCAGUAACACCAAGUACGGGAAUAUUAACCCGUUUCCCAUCGACUACGCCUUUCGGCCUCGCCUUAGGGGUCGACUCACCCUGCCCCGAUUAACGUUGGACAGGAACCCUUGGUCUUCCGGCGAGCGGGCUUUUCACCCGCUUUAUCGUUACUUAUGUCAGCAUUCGCNNNNNNNNNNNNNNNNNNNNCCCAACAACACCUGAGUGUCGCUGCCGCAGCUUCGGUGCAUGGUUUAGCCCCGUUACAUCUUCCGCGCAGGCCGACUCGACCAGUGAGCUAUUACGCUUUCUUUAAAUGAUGGCUGCUUCUAAGCCAACAUCCUGGCUGUCUGGGCCUUCCCACAUCGUUUCCCACUUAACCAUGACUUUGGGACCUUAGCUGGCGGUCUGGGUUGUUUCCCUCUUCACGACGGACGUUAGCACCCGCCGUGUGUCUCCCGUGAUAACAUUCUCCGGUAUUCGCAGUUUGCAUCGGGUUGGUAAGCCGGGAUGGCCCCCUAGCCGAAACAGUGCUCUACCCCCGGAGAUGAAUUCACGAGGCGCUACCUAAAUAGCUUUCGGGGAGAACCAGCUAUCUCCCGNNNNNNNNNNNNNNNNNNNNCCCCCAGCCACAGGUCAUCCGCUAAUUUUUCAACAUUAGUCGGUUCGGUCCUCCAGUUAGUGUUACCCAACCUUCAACCUGCCCAUGGCUAGAUCACCGGGNNNNNNNNNNNNNNNNNNNNCCCUGCAACUUAACGCCCGGUUAAGACUCGGUUUCCCUCCGGCUCCCCUAUACGGUUAACCUUGCUACAGAAUAUAAGUCGCUGACCCAUUAUACAAAAGGUACGCAGUCACACAGGUAAACCUGUGCUCCCACUGCUUGUACGUACACGGUUUCAGGUUCUUUUUCACUCCCCUCGCCGGGGUUCUUUUCGCCUUUCCCUCACGGUACUGGUUCACUAUCGGUCAGUCAGGAGUAUUUAGCCUUGGAGGAUGGUCCCCCCAUAUUCAGACAGGAUACCACGUGUCCCGCCCUACUCAUCGAGCUCACAGCACAU
rnacentral:rRNA from 1 species